GCCCUGAUAAAGCCACAAGGAACAGCACUGCUAAGAAGAGCUGCAUGUGAGAAAACCAGCCAGAAGGCACCCUCGGAACAGAAAUCCUGUAUUCCAGUUACUGCCUGGAAUUUGAGCUCAGCGUUGGCAAACUGGGCCCUGCAUGUCUUUGAGGCAUAUGGAAAUUGAUGAUGAAAGUGUCUAGUAUAACUACAAGUAUAAUUUGAUGGAAACUGGAGCAGUGAACUGUGAGAAACUGCUAAAUCAGUGUCAUCAAACUCUGCUUGAAAAAUAAUGAAACAGAAAUACCACCAGGACACAAGCAACGCAGUGCAAAGGCUGUGAAACCAGAGAGCAGAUACAAAAAAUUAGGGAAACCCACAAGAAAUUAUGUUAAUUGUUAUUUUUGAAACAAAUAUACAGUACAAAUUUGAUGGAGACAGUGACAUCAUGUCUCUACCAAAUUGUUCAAGCCCAAAACCUUGGCAGGAGCUGCUCCAAUGGAAUAUCAUGUUCAGCCCUGGCACUCUCUCCUGCCUACCCAAAAAUAUGUGCAGAAUAAGAACAACACCAUGGCCAAUCCUAGUUAGAGCUCAAGUCCCUGGGGGCAACAGGAAAACACCAAAAUAGAAAACAUAUUACAGUUUUAAAGCAGUAAUAUUACUGAGGGGAAUAAAAUAAAUAUGACCUCAGAAA